GCUUGCUUCUCUGAUGUUAGCGGCGGACGGGUGAGUAACACGUGGAUAACCCUACCUAUAAGACUGGGAUAACUUCGGGAAACCGGAGCUAAUACCGGAUGAUAUUUUGAACCGCAUGGUUCAAAGUGAAAGACGGUCUUGCUGUCACUUAUAGAUGGAUCCGCGCUGCAUUAGCUAGUUGGUAAGGUAACGGCUUACCAAGGCAACGAUGCAUAGCCGACCUGAGAGGGUGAUCGGCCACACUGGAACUGAGACACGGUCCAGACUCCUACGGGAGGCAGCAGUAGGGAAUCUUCCGCAAUGGGCGAAAGCCUGACGGAGCAACGCCGCGUGAGUGAUGAAGGUCUUCGGAUCGUAAAACUCUGUUAUUAGGGAAGAACAUAUGUGUAAGUAACUGUGCACAUCUUGACGGUACCUAAUCAGAAAGCCACGGCUAACUACGUGCCAGCAGCCGCGGUAAUACGUAGGUGGCAAGCGUUAUCCGGAAUUAUUGGGCGUAAAGCGCGCGUAGGCGGUUUUUUAAGUCUGAUGUGAAAGCCCACGGCUCAACCGUGGAGGGUCAUUGGAAACUGGAAAACUUGAGUGCAGAAGAGGAAAGUGGAAUUCCAUGUGUAGCGGUGAAAUGCGCAGAGAUAUGGAGGAACACCAGUGGCGAAGGCGACUUUCUGGUCUGUAACUGACGCUGAUGUGCGAAAGCGUGGGGAUC
rnacentral:rRNA from 1 species